GUUAAUGUUGCAUGCCAGUACAUGUGGUGAAAGUGUAAUGGAAGACUUUCCAACAACAUCAAGGCCACAAGGUGGAGCUGCACUGAGCAGCGAUGGAGACGACCUCAGUGCUGCAACAUUGUGUGAAGUCACCUGCCAUGAAGUUGAACUUUGGAAAAAUGUUAGUUCUCCCCAAGAAGCUGCUACACUGUUUAAAAAGUACCUAAUGCGAGAAAAGGAGA